UGCUGGGAACAAAUGAGCUUCGCUCCUGCUCCCCUCUGGCAAGGCUCACGGCUUCCUGCUCUGCCUUCUCCUCUGUGUAACUCCUACUAAUUUUCCUAACUUUCUUUGAACAUGAAGAUUAAUCUGUGAUAUUUAAGCCUCGCUUAGCCACACGAGCCAUUUAUCCUUAUUUCUGCCUGUUCUUAAUGGUUGUACACCGCUGGGUACAUCUUCAUCCCUUUUCGCUCCAGCAUCUCCCUGCAGCUCAUGCUGGUGGUUAACCAGCACCACCCCAAGUCCUUUCUGUGCUGCUGCCUGUCAGGACAUCAUCUCCGACACCGGAACUGCAACUUGCUCUCCUAAAUGGAAAGCCUUGGGCUUGGCUGUAUAAAACCAGCCGUUGCUAAAUGAGCCCACCGUACAGAGCUGCCCCGUGCGCCUGACCCACCUCCAUCAUCCAUUGGUACUCCAGUCAGACUCUCCUUUGCCAUUUGCACCUUUUAUCCACAAUUAAUUCAUGUUAUCAUUAAUAAAGACAUUGUUAUAGCUCAACACUAGUCUAGUAACAGAUCCCACGUAGAAAUAUCCCACUGGAAAACAAUUUAUAAUCUCUGCAAUCUGCUUGCCACUCCCUUUAGUAAAGUGAUGUUGAUUCUGCAUAAAACUAUUUUACUUUUUCAGGAGAGCUAAAUCAAAUAGCUUGUGGAGCUCUAAAUGUGUUAUGAUAAUGGCUUCCUUUAUCAACUAAAUUGGUAACCGUAACAAGAAAAAUGUGUGAUGUUUGAUGGAUCUAUUUUCCAUGAGGCUGUUAGCCAUUUUUCACAUCCCCUGGCUCCUCCCUGCUGCUGCCUCCGUGCACUAGCCCAGAGCUGACACUGAGUAAUCCAGUUCCUACCAUUGCCAUCACUUGUGAUGACCAGCACAGUCUAAUUAAGCAUUCACCAGCUUUUCCCGUCUUCCAGAAUUUCACCAAAAUGCCAAGAUUUAUUCAAAUCCAUUUUAGACCUAUAGUUUCAGACCUUAGGCUGCUCUAUUAAUACUCCUGGGACAAAGUUCCUUGGUGCUGCCAAUUUCAUGUUUACACGUCCAGUGGCUGUUUAGCAUCCUCCCUAAUCCCCGAUGGGGUACGGGAGCCUGUUUGUCUCCAAGUACGGGGCAGAAGUGCGCGAUGAAUUGUGUGUCACUUCUGCUUCGUGCCUGACAGUUGUACCGUCCUCCUCUAGCAGGGAAGUUAACACCAGCGGUGAGGCUCCUUUCUUCUAACACAUCUAAAGAGUCCUCCUUCUUUUGCUUAAAGCUUUUGGUUGCAGAUUUAUUUUAACUGAUCCCGUUAGCUUCUACCAAUAUCAGAAGUCCUGACUUUUGAUUGUUUAAUUGCAACGUUCAGUUCCUCUCCUUGGCAGGUCUGACGGAAGCUCGGGGUGUCAGGAAGGCAUCCUGCCACAGCUCCCAAGCCACCGCCGUGGCUCUGUGUUGACAUUUUCCCCCAGUCAGUUGUGCCCAUGUUUGCUUUUGGCUCCGCUGAGCUGAGCUGGUUCGCCGCGAAGGCGUUAAACUGGGCUGCAAGCAGCUGCGCCUGGACAGCCACCAGCUCUUUGCCUGCUUCCAGCUCCUCUCAGUCCCUCUGAAUGAGGCCAAGCAGAGAAUUUCCCCAAGGUGACAGCAAUAUUGUUUCUGUUAGAAAGUUAUUAUCUUUAAUUUUUAAAAGCGCCAAGCAAAUGUCCCUGAGAUUGCAAUCAUCCAUGAUAGAGCGCUUUUUCUCGCUACUCAUUAUAGGUGGGUAUUUAAGGAGCUGCUCAUCCUGUUCCUCUGUCUGGUUGGUGUCUGUAAUAGAUUCUCAUCAACAACCCGUCCUGCAAUCUCACACUUUUCCGUGGCGCUCGUGGUGUCUCCGGUGCAGCUCCAAGCGCUCGUUGCUCAGCCAUGCCGGCAUCCCCGGCACGCGGUGGCUCCGUGUCACCGCAGGGGCAGCCCCGGUGAGUGACUGUCCCCUCUGCUCCACCCUGUGCAGGCAACGCAUGGGGAGCCGGGAAAGCCAGCGGUGCGCGGAGGGAACGCACGGGUCGGGGAGCAUCGGCGUGGGCUGGAAGUGAUGGAUGGGGACAUGGGACAGCGUAAGGGCGUGGGAGGGCUGGGGAGGAUGGGUGGAGUGACAGUGUCCUCUUCCCCAGAGUAUGAGGAUGAGGAAGCAUUAAAUUAAAUUGUGUGAUAGAAAUUAAAUAACAGAGGCACCUAAGAUUAUAGUGAUGGGUGAAGGUGAGGAGGGCACGGUUACCCAUCUGAGAUGACCUGAGGAAAUUGCCAUGCCACAGGCUCAACCACCCUUCCCUCCUGCCCCCAGAAAGCCUCUCCACACAGGACAGCACUGAGCAUGGGCAGGAUGGGGCCAGUUGUGGCACUGGGGUCAAAACAGGAUUGGACAAAAGCAUCAAGCAUGGGGUCAGCAAUCUGCGUGUGGUGCCCCAGGUGUCACCUCUGACUUGGGAAAUCCCUAAACUUUGGCUUGGUGGAGAAUAUGUUGAAUAGGCAUUAAUUACUGUCCUCUAAUGGAGAUGGAAAUCAGGCUGCACCUCUGGCCUGCUCCAGCCCCAUGUGCCUGUGGCACGUGGCCAAAUGCCAAGAGCCAUAAAAAAUCCUCCUGGACGGAGCCGGGCCCACGCCGCCUGCCAGCCAGUGCUGUGCUUUCAGGCAGCUGUGCAGCCGCAUCUCACUGAUGGUUUGAAGGUACCCAGAUCUGUGCCUCGGCUCGCUCCCACCAGCUCUGCUUUGAGGAAUUGGCGCUUGGAACAGCGGGUGCAGAAUUUACCCUUGUGGGAUGCUGCGGCAUUUGUCAGGACAAAAAUCCCAUCGUCUGGGGCAGUGUAGGGAGCUAGCUCCCACAUUGCCUGUGAGCAGCACGUGAUGAGUAAAAUGUAUGCUGCAAACAGCUCAGAAACAGGCAUUUUACUGCUGCAUAGGCGUGGUGCAGAGUCUGUCAUCUCAAGAGCUGUUACUGUUUAAUAGAGGUGGAAGUCUGAAUCUGAAUGAGGCUCAAGUGUUGUUUUUUUCCAUGCAAGGUCACUAUCUCCAUUAUGGCUGUAAAUAAUUAGGGGUGGCUAAUGAAGGCUGAAAGCCCGAGCGCUGGGGCUGGUGGCUGGGGAGCACAGCCGUGGCGGGGGGAGGCCGCCCCAAUGGCCGGAUCCUGCCCGCUGCCCGGGGUGGCAACACCAGCACCGCGUGCACAGGGACUGGGGAGAGCAGCGGCGAUGCUUGGCUCCGCCGCCCGGAGUUACACGGCUCUGGCAAAUCACUUCUCUUUGCAGGAGCUUUUUGCCUUUCAUCGUGUGCAGGUCGGCAUGGUCUGGGUGGAUUCAUUGGGGCUGGGCUCACACAGCUCCCGGGGGGCGCACAGCACCCUCACCGCUGGUCCCGGGGGGUGCAGACCCCUCCCCGACCACCGGCACAGCCCGGCCACCCCGUUGUCCCUGGCACCGCCGGCACCUCUCAGCAGUGCAGGGUGAGGGGCCAGGCACGGAGAUCUGUGAGCCCCUGCGAUUGCCCGUGCUGUUUGGGAUGGGGCAGGGGAACCAGCCACAAAGUUAAACUUGCUCAGUGCUUCUUGCGUCUCGGUGGUUAGUUUUCACAUGGAUCUCACCAUGGAUUUUCAAUGAACGCGAGGUACACUUCAUAAAUAGACAUCAGCCUCCUUUUCCAGGAGGAUCAAAAUUGCUCUUAUAAUUCUAGAGAUGGAUUAACCCAUAAAUACGGGGUGGCACGCGGCAGGCCAGGCUGCAUCCCUGGCUCACCUUGCCGAUGAGGUCUGCGGCUGACAGAGGCGCACUGGCAGGGUGCAGCUGUGGCGUAUCCACUGCUAGGAAUGCACACCCGCACCUGAGGGUGCCUCCGAGAUGCCCAAGGGGAGGCGCCCACCCCACUCCCGGAGCCACUGGGACGCGCCACAGGCAGCCAGCAGCGACGUGCCUCAGGGUGCAAUCGGUGAGGGGUUCCUCGUGCCCAUGGGUGCUGGGAAGAACCGGGGGACUCUGCCUGCCUGCUCCCCUGCUCUGACCUUGGUAAGGGCUGGAACUGUGCUACGGCACCUAAAAGUCACUUUAAUUGUUUACAUGACCCUUGAGAAGAUUGCAGUUGGUGCUUGGCUGCACUUUGGCUUGAGGCUUGGUGUUGAGAUGGAGGCUCCCACGUCCCCUUCUAGGGGCUCGCUGGGGGCUCCACUCUGGCUUGCACUUGAGCUUAGCACCACGAGGUUUUGUUGCUUUUUUCUGAAGGAUAAGCACCCUGGGGAGCACAGCCGUGUUGCCAUUCAUUUCAUGCAGUCCUCCAGCACGGUCUGUAAUGAGCCACGGCUCGCUCUGGGGAAACGCAGCAGCGGGCGUCUCGAGAUAUUUCUUUGAUUAAGAAGACACCUGCUGUGGUAAAGAAUGACAGUGCCUGGGUGACAACUGGUGUCUUCUCUUGGCUCAUGUGCAUCAGCGAGGCUCUGCACAGCUCCGCAGAGAGGAGAGGUUUCGGAGCAGUGCUGAGCAGCAAGCACGAGCACGCUGCCUCGCCGCGCCGGGGAUCUGUUACACAACCAUGAGUGCAAACACUGCUCGUGUCACGGGCUGCCAGGCUCAGCCCUGGUGACUCAGGGGCGCUUCGUACAUUUUCUUAUCUGGCAUUUGUGUUACCUUUUAACCAUCUGCUUUCAGCAGUUACUUAACAGAAUUUUUCAAAAUAGGAAGUUCAGGCCAGGUAUGCUCCAUGCUUUGAGCUGUCCGACGUCCUUUGGACUGGUUAUAUCGGAGCCAGGCUGCAGAACAUCAACUUCUCUUGGACGUUUUCUGAAUCAGAGGCACAUCGUGUGACCAGCGGUGCACCAGUGCUUGUGCGCAGGAUUUCCUAGCCAAAAUAAUUGAGCACUGGCUGCCCUUGCCAGCUGUGGGCCCUCGUCUGUCCGAGGUAGGAGGGGAUGCAAGGCAGCACACCUGAGGAGUGCUCCCGUGUGUGAAUGCCUGCUCGUUCAUCACCACAGCAGCACGGUGACAAAGUGCUCGUAUGGUAACUCGGUAUUCUGCAUUUCCCUACGUGCCACUGGCCGCCAGGCUCGCAGAGGCUGGUGCACGCUGCAGUCAAGGUGCACGCGUGGCUGUGGCUGCCAGGAAUACUAAUUCUGGAACUGCCGCGGUCCCUCCUCCAGCCCUGCUGCUCUGGCCAUGCCUUGGGGCUGCCCCCCUGUGCUGGGGCUGCGCCGUGCCGUGGUCAGCUCGCCAAACAGAGCCCAGGAGGAGCAGUCCCAUCGCAACGGGGCUUUGCUGCUGUUUGAAAUGUGUGGUGCGACAGCUGAGAUGUGUUUGUCUUCCUAACACUUGCAAAACUCGCUUGCACACUGGAUGACUGCAUUUGUCAGGCUUGAAAAUAUCCUUUUUUUUCAUAGUCAUCAUGGAGAGAGGAAGGAGAAAUUAUUAUGGCUGCUGAACAGGUAAUAUCGCAUGAUGAUGUUCUCAGAUAUUGCCUGUUUCUUAUCUCCUGACACCACAAUCUAUAGACAAACCUGGCGCUGUCGGGCUGCAGAGGAUGCUCAGCUGUCACCACGUCGGGUUAUUGGGAGCCGCGUUGCUUUAUCAUACAGAGAACAGGGCCACACUGCGAUGGCAAGGCAGGCAGGGAAGGGCGGAGAGCAGGCAAGGAAAGCAGCCAUGAGGCGCAGGAGCAGGAGCAGCACCGCACCAGUGGUCCUGCUGCCUCACAGCGGGCUCUGGGCAUUGCUUUGUGCCACAAGGUUUGUGUUCCAAGAGCAGGGUUGGGCUGGGAGCAGGAGCCACGGCUCCGGGGCAGGCGGGGGCAGCGAGCAGAUCCCUGAGCUCCGGGAUGGUGAAUGAGCAGCACGAAGGCGUGACUCAGCCUGCGGAAAGCACUAACAAAAGGCAGCAUUUGAGGGUGACAUUUGGGCUCGUGCCUUGCAAAUGCUCGCUCUUCCAGUUUAUUUGGUGAUUUGGUAAUUGUCCCAUAAUUGUACCCUUACUCUCAAUUCGUGCCUGGAGCCGUAAAGGGAGGGGAAAGCAAGCCCCAAAGAGGUUACCAACAAGUGACUACCUUUUUAAAGUGCUCCUGAUUUUAACUUCUUAAAAUCAGCAUUGGCUUAUGCUGCUGGGACCUUGAUCCUACCACUCGUGUCCUCCACACCCAAUCCGUGGGCCCCGGACUGCCCCCUCUUUCCCUCCCCACAGGGCUGCUCCGUGGUCAGGAGGGAGCCUGGAGCAGAUCUCCCGUGCCAGGCUGGCCUGUACUGCCCAGGUUUUGGCAGCUGUCAGUGCCCCAGUGCCGCAGCAGCAGCACAUCACACCACGCCAUCACACGAGCGAUCGCAAGGGGCUGCACGAGCCUCCUGCUGCUCUGCUGCUGGGCUGCCUCCCGCUGCAGCCGGGCAGGGUGGCUGCCCCUUCCUCACACAGCUGCCCUUUCCAUGUCGUCUUUGCGUGCUGUCCUCAGCCUGCAACAGCUCCAGCGUUGCCUUCGCACCCAGUCGAGGCAGCGACUGCCACCAGGCUGUGCAGCAUCCUUGCCAAGCCCUCCAUUUGGCGGUGGCGGCACGCUGCUCUCUUGGCCUCAUCGCAGCACGGCAGCCGUGCAGAGCUGGGGAGACGUGGCCGGGGGCAGCACCCCGGGGCCUCGCCUCUUGCCCCCGCCAGCCUGAGGUGCUGCCGUGAGUCGGUGGGCUGAGGAUGGGCUGGCUGCCUCGUGCAGCCUCCUUCGAUCCCCUCCUGGGGAAUUUCUUCUCAUUCCUCAGCAUGCUCCAGCCAAGGAAGAAAGUGUUUGAUCUGCGUUAGUCUUUGGCCUCCCCUUCAACAGGAAAAGCUGAAGGACAAGAGUGAUCCUGCCUUUAGUAGGGCAGGAAAAUGGCAGUCCAAGGUGUGAGAUCCCUUGGCUUGGGGGAGAGACAGGACCCGUAUCUUCUGCCUCUGUCACCAAACAAUUGAAGCACGGUCCAGUGAGGGCAUGAGGAUGGCGAUGAGACCCUGAGGGAGGUGAUGUGCAUGCUCAUCACAUUCAUUCUCAAUAACACCCACUCUGCGAAUCGCCCAGCCUGCCCCAGUCCCCAUUGCUGCUGUGCUAAGCCUGUGCCCCGCAGCUCGGCCAGGAGGAUGCGGUGGGAAGGUCCCCGCAGGGGCUGCCGCAAGAGGGGCUCUCCUGGCUGAGCCCCAGCACCCGUGUAGACGUGUGCCGUGUGGCUUCUGUGUUUGUCCCAGCUCUCUGACGGCUGAAGUGACAGACAGACGUGUCAGCGCCUCCGCCGGGAGCCGCGUUCUCGCAGCCGCAGCCUGUCGGCACCGAGCGGGAGCUCUGCUCCCCGGGGAGCGAACGGCGCGCUGGGGUGCACAGCGGGUGGCACUCUGCCUGCUGAAACGUGCGGUGCCCGCAUCCGUCACCUGCUCUUGGUACGUCCGAGCUGGUGUCCGUCAUCCUGCAGCCUGGUGCCAGCUCGGUGCUGGUAAAGCUGCAGCAGCUCGGUGCUCACAUGGUGUGCUGCGUGCUGCACCGCAAGGGUCUCGGGAGCGGUCCCCUCUCUUAAGCAAGGAGGUUCAGGAUACAUGAGAGCAGGCACACACUUAGAAAUCAUCUGCAUUGUCAGUUUGGACCCCCCAGAAUGAGCAACAAAGUAGGAAAAGCAGAAUGUCCCAUUGGUGUCUGGGAGCUUUGUGCCUGGUUCUGGGUUUCAUCUUAGCUAGCUCCUCUCGGGCUGUAGCAGCGCCUGGCUGUGUGUUGUUUCAGCUCCUCUCAUGCAGAACUUAUUUCCAGGGCCGUGGUGAGGGCUCUGACACCCAGCACAGACACUGGGGCUGCCCCCAGGCUGCACAGACCACCCCAGCCCUGCCCUCGGGUGCAGCCUGGUGGCCUCCUCCGGCCCCAGGCACCGCGGGUGCAUCAGCAGGAGCGAGAGCAGGUGUGUGCCAUGAGCACAGAGCAACACCCGGGCUGCUGAGCUGCAGCUGUGACAGACCCAUUAAAAGUGCUGCCACAGGGCACCGCUCUCCCUGGAGGAUGUGUGCCAUGAGCUGAGCGAGGCUGGGGGCAAAGCUGUGCUCCCUGUGCGAGCCUGAGCCGAGGGCAGGGGAAGGGACCUGCAGGAACAGCGCGGGUGGGGGUGGCUGCAUCGGUGGGUGCACAGCCCUGCUGCGCUCGGAGCUGAUGGUGAAACACCUCCUAGCUUCAACAGCAGUAGGGUGGGCUCUGGUGCAUGAAUUAAGGCAAAGUAGGAAGGAAAUGGAAAGCUCUGGCACCAGCUGCGGAGCUUUCUGCUUGCCUGGGCUUCUCAGGGUCUUUUACAUUUUUUUUCUCUUCCCCCCCCCCUCCUCAAAUCUAUAUCGGGUUGCUGCCUCUGAAAAGGGAAGAGCCGUGUGGGAGCUGGAAUUGUUUCAAAGCCCUGCAGUUUCUCUAGCAAAAUGCACUGUGCUUUGAGGCACUGGGGGAAGCUGAGGCCUGUUUGCAGUCAAGCAAUGCUGAGGGAGUAAAGUCUGUGACAUGCUGAGCGCUGGAGCAUCCCUGGCUAAAACUGGCAGAAGUUCCCAGUCCACCCGUUGGUGCGAGAGCCUGGCCGUGCCCACAGCUGCCCCCCCGGGGAUGCCUGGGCUCCCCCAGCCCUGCCACAGAGCUAUGGGUGCACCCCCUGGCAGGGUCUGUGCCAGGAGGGCUGCGUCUCCAGCUGGCGGGGGGUCAUGCUGCGUGUGGCAGAGCAGGUCUCAGUGUGUACCCCCAGCCCCUGAGCACCCACGUGCACCUCGCUGAGCUUCCCAUGGCAGCGGGCACCAGGCCAGAGCAUCCCACAGUCAGCCUUGGCCGGGGGGCGUGAGCCUGGACACUGCUCCCCGUCCCCUGAGCCAUGGUCGUCGCCACCCAGGGCUGGGUCCUGCCAGGGCUGGGGCCUGCUGCACUCGUGCUGCACAUGUUCCAGCUCCUGUCUGAAGCGACAUCAGCGCCCGGCUGGUGCUGUAACUGCAGAGCCCGCCUCUGCCGCCUCCUUGCUGUUGCACUUGUUUAAUUUGACUUGGGGUUUUUCCACUGUUUUUUUACCAGGAAAAA